ACGAAUAGAGGAAAGAGUUGAAACUUGAGUGACGUCCAGCCAGAGAACUCAUUGCCGUUGUGAUCCUGUCCAUUCGUGAAGAUCCGUGAAGAGGUUUCACGUAACUUGAAAGGCUGUGGUGGGUCAGAGAACGAAAUGGGUUCAGCUUCUUCUGUAGGACGUUGACGCAGCUCCCGCGGGGCACUUUUGCGGAUGAAGGAAACUCUUAUGCGAACGACAAUAUUGAACUGUAAAACGUGUUUUGACAGACGCAAGGGAAGCGCAAAAGAUGAUCAUUUGUCAAAGUAAAGUGGAUGCAAACGUGAACACGUUAUCAUGGCUUUACCGAGUUUCAGAGACAAAAUAUAACAACAAUUUUUGUAAAUGUAAUGACGUUG